UACGUAGGGUGCGAGCGUUGUCCGGAUUUAUUGGGCGUAAAGCGUGCGCAGGCGGCCCGUUAAGACAGGUGUGAAAUCCCUGGGCUCAACCUAGGAGUUGCGCUUGUGACUGGCGGGCUCGAGUACGGUAGAGGGGGGUGGAAUUCCUGGUGUAGCAGUGAAAUGCGUAGAGAUCAGGAGGAACACCGAUGGCGAAGGCAGCCCCCUGGGCCUGUACUGACGCUCAGGCACGAAAGCGUGGGGAGCAAACAGG
rnacentral:rRNA from 1 species